rnacentral:rRNA from 1 species
AUUGAACGCUGGCGGCAGGCCUAACACAUGCAAGUCGGACGGUAACAGGAAGCAGCUUGCAGCUUCGCUGACGAGUGGCAGACGGGUGAGUAAAGUCUGGGAAACUGCCUGCUGGAGGGGGAUAACUACUGGAAAGGGUAGCUAAUACCGCAUAACGUCGCAAGACCAAAGCGGGGGACCUUCGGGCCUCUUGCCAUCAGAUGUUCCCAGAUGGGGUUAGCUAGUAGGUGGGGUAAAGGCUCACCUAGGCGACGAUCCCUAGCUGGUAUGAGGGGAUGCCCAGCCAAGCUGGAACUGAGACACGGUCCAUACUCCUACGGGAGGCAGCAGUGGGGAAUAUUGCACAUUGGGCGCAAGCCUGAUGCAGCCAUGCCGCGUGUAUGAAGAAGGCCUUCGGGUUGUAAAGUACUUUCAGCGGGGAGGAAGGCAAUGCGGUUAAUAACCGUGUUGAUUGACGUUACCCGCAGAAGAAGCACCGGCUAACUCCGUGCCAGCAGCCGCCGCGG